UAGGGAAUCUUCGGCAAUGGACGGAAGUCUGACCGAGCAACGCCGCGUGAGUGAAGAAGGUUUUCGGAUCGUAAAGCUCUGUUGUUAGAGAAGAACGUUGGUAGGAGUGGAAAAUCUACCAAGUGACGGUAACUAACCAGAAAGGGACGGCUAACUACGUGCCAGCAGCCGCGGUAAUACGUAGGUCCCGAGCGUUGUCCGGAUUUAUUGGGCGUAAAGCGAGCGCAGGCGGUUCUUUAAGCCUGAAGUUAAAGGCAGUGGCUUAACCAUUGUACGCUUUGGAAACUGGAGGACUUGAGUGCAGAAGGGGAGAGUGGAAUUCCAUGUGUAGCGGUGAAAUGCGUAGAUAUAUGGAGGAACACCGGUGGCGAAAGCGGCUCUCUGGUCUGUAACUGACGCUGAGGCUCGAAAGCGUGGGGAGCAAACAGG
rnacentral:rRNA from 1 species